CAAACUUCCGCUAAGACAAGCGACCAACAUAAAGUGCGCUAAAAUGAUGAAAGCCGUGCUCGCUCUUGUUUUGGCUAUGGCAGCCAUUGCUUGUGCCUCAACCGGCGUCGAUGUCAUUCGCCACACUCCCGGAUUCAAUGGCUACUAUGGAUAUGCACCAUAUUACCAUGGAUACGGAAACGGAUAUUUCGGGUAUGAUGGACUUGGUUUGGGACCUUAUAACUACUAUGGAAGAUACGGCCUCGGUUAUGGAGGAUAUGGUAUCGGAUAUCGAGGAUAUUUGGGAGGGCUCGGUUACUACGGUUAUUUUUAAGUAACUUCUUGUUCAACGGCAGAAUGUGUUAGCAACGGCAGCGUGUGUUGUGAAACAGCUUACUACAAGAUCCCACCAUCUAGGUUGGAG